GGCAAUCAGAAGUGACUUUGAAAAAAUAAUAAUAAUGCUGUGAGGUAUUAAAUGUGUUUGCAUUCUCCAUCAGUUUAUCCUUCCUCCCUCAACUAAUGUUACCCAUGUUCCUGGGUGUGAUGUUUGGGUUCUUUAAAACACAAUUCAAAUCCCUUCACUUUUAAAUACUUUAGAUACUUUUAAAUACUUGUGUGUUAGAUUUGAUUGUCAGUGAAUAAGACUGGAUUUUUUGUACAUGUCUACAUUAGUUUAGUUAAUAUUUGUAUUCAAUAUAAUAAUAAUAACGAUCAAUGCCUCAUGCUACAUAUAGUCUGUGGGGUUUUUUGUAUGCUGUCUGUGAUGCAGCAUUAUAGAGGUACUUCUGAUCAUCUGAUUCUACCAGGAUCACAAUACCAUCUGCUCAUCUGCAAGCUCUCUUCAAACCAAUGUUCAAACCAAAAUUCUCCCAUAUCACCCCUGUGUUAAAAUCCUUGCACUGGCUUCCGGUUGAGUAUAGAUAUCAGUUUAAAAUCCUCACUUUUACAUUCAUGUCCCUACAAGGUGAGGCCCCCACUUAUAUCACUGAGCUUCUCCAACCCUACUCUCCACACCGGAUCCUUAGAGCCACUGAUUCCAUGGACCCGUUUGAAAACGAAGGGGGAUCCCGCUUUUCAAACCUUGGCUUGAAUAUUAUGGAACAGUUUACCUCCCCCGCUACGCACCAUCAACUCUGUAGCUACUUUUAAAAAACAACUCAAAACACAUCUGUUUAGACAGGCAUUUAGGUAAUAUUCAUGUGUAGUGUACUGUUUUAGUGGAUAUGCUAUUAUACCCUCUUUAUAGUGUUUUAUUUUUCGUUUGGUUUGCUUUUAUUCCCUCGUGAAGCACUUUGAAAUAACUUCCUGUUUUAAAAAGUGCUGUAUAAAUAAAUUUUACUUACAAUGUUUUAUUAUCUGAAAGAGGAACCAUUACAUCCUCGAAGAUAAAAACAGCAAAUGAAUUAUUCCAAAUACCAAAAAGGUAAAUUAUACAUGCAGUGCAUCUGGAAAGUAUCCACAACACUUGUUCCACAUUUUGUCACGUUACACCCUUAUUUCAAAAUGGAAAUACAUUCAGUUUUAAUUCACGUACACAAUAUUGCGGGAUUGGUGACUUUUUACUUAGAGUGCUUUUAGUUUUUGGGGUGCUGUGCAGCCUGAUAUAGGGAGAGUCUGAUCAGACCCAGCUGCCCUGCUAGGCUUCCUGGCACUGCCCCACCCGGCCACAACGAGUGAACUUUUUGGCCUAAAUGCAAAGUGUCCUCUCUCAAGGAAAUUGGGCUCAUCAUCUGGCCAAUACCAUCGCUGGCACACAUCCACAUGCUGUGAGGAUGUGAGAUCAAGGGAAAAAUGAAUGCAGUCAUGUACAGAGAGCCUUGAUGAUAACCUGCUCCAGAGUGCUCACUAGGCCGGACUUGACCGAAGGUUUAUAUGCCAAGAGCACACAGCCAAGAUAACAGUGGAGUGGCUUCAGGACCACAGCCCCGACCCAAGUGAUCAUAUCUGGAGCGAUCUGAAAAUGGCUGUGCAAUGACGCUCUGCAUCUAACCUGAUGCAGCUCGAGAGGUUAUGCAAAGAAGAAUGGAAGAACCUGUUGAAAAAUAGUUCGACUUGAGGCUUUAACAUGCAACAUUUGGAGUUAGGCUGUAUAGCUUCUGCUUAAACACAAAAACAUCUGGUUGAUAAAACUCUUGAUCACCUCCCUUACAUGACAAAAUGACAAACAAGUAAAGUGCUGAGAAUACUUUUGUGAUGUAUUGGGUAAAGCGUUCAGGGUCACCUGAUCUAUUCCUGCCAAUAAGCUUUAAAAAAAUGUAAGCGCCCAGUUUGUCUCCCAAAUACAAACUGGGCACUGGUUCCACAGAGAAACUUGAAGCCUCUACCUCCCGUUCUACUGUUAACCCUAAAACACUAAUGUCAGGUGAUUUUCACCCACGUAAAACUGAUAGUGUUACAAAACUCCACAUUAAUAUAGUUUUUUGCUCUCACAAGUAAACUGAGAGUAAAGUGUUGUAUUGAGGUGAUGUGGUUCUAAGUAAGAUGGGGCCUGUUACUUCAUGUAGUAUUGGCAGUUGGGCAUGGAGGACCAGAUCUUUGUCAUGAGCUUAUCUUUUAGGUGGAGAAGCAUUCAGUGCGUUCGAUGCAUUACCUGUCCUUUGGGAUUGAUACCUAAUCUCACAGUUGGACAUGCUGGUAUCUCCCCCUGACCUGAUUUAAAAUCUGUGAAAUUAAAAAAAACACUCAAUGAUGUAAAAAAUUUAAAUUUCAAGGAAAAACCCCUGAAAUUGGCUAGCAUAAAUUCUUAUAGUGUCCACUAAUGGAAAAGGGGUGGAACAAUUACUGUUAAAUGAAAGCGUCCAAACUGAACCACUGAACAACAGCAGCUUUAAUCAGGGAGGUGAUCAAGAGUUUUAUCAACCAGACGUUUUUAUGUUUAAGCGGAAGCAAUACAGCCUAAGUCCAAGUACACAUUGUUUAAUAGUGUUUGAGUACAGAAAAUGGCUUCUGGGACACUUAGAAAUUACAAAACAUUUUGGGAAAGCUACAAACAUCAGCCACACUUGAAUCUAGGAUUCCAUCCAUCUAUCUUCUUCCACUAUCCGUGGCCAGGUUGCAGGGGCAGCAACCUAAGCAGAGUGGUUCUGCUCUGAGCCCCUAAUUCCUCACCCUAUCACUAAGGGAGAGGCCAGACACCCUUCGGACAAAGCCCAUUUCCACCGCUUGUAUCCACGAUCACGUUCUUUCAGUCACGGCACGUGGGCAUAUGUGAUGGUAGGGAUGUAGAUCGACUAGUAAAUUGAGAUCUUCGCUUUUACACUAAGCGCUCUCUUCCCCAAACUGGACCAGUACAACAUCCGCAUCACUGCAGCCGCAGCACCAAUUCGUCUGUUCCCGUCACUCGUCAACAAGACCCCAAGAUAUUUAAAUCGCUCCACUUGGGGCAGGAACUCGUCUCUGACCCGGGGUGGGGAAUCCAUCGUUUUCCAGCUGAGGACCAUGGCCUCAGAUUUGGUGGUGCUGAUUCUCAUUCCCACUGCUAGGAUUCCCCAAAGUACUAAAAGGUUAGGAGUUGAUUACAUACACACUCUAUGAAAUACUCAAAUAGAGGUAAACAUUCGCCAAAAAAUGAGCUGGACACUGUCAUACAGUAGAAAUGCCCAAUCAAUCUGAAAUGGAGAAUAACUCAAGUGUUACCAUCUGUAGGAUUAGAUUUUGAUUUUGUUUAAAGACAGAAGAAUAAAUGGAGAGGGCUUAGAGAAAAGAUAGCAAAAUAGUACUUCCUAGUGAGUUUAGAAAAUGUGUUGCUGUUACUCGACUACAGGUCUUGGUUGAACUCUUUCUAAUCCCUUUAAUCUCCCCCUAAUCCCCUCCAUGUUGGGGGCAUACUUGUGGGUUGCAAAAUGGUCCAAACACACUCCAGUGAUACAGCUCACACAAGCAAUGAAAUGCAACACUUUUGAGGGUUUUGGAAGACACCUUUAGGAUUCCUAUAUUUGAUAUUUGCGCUUGUGCACGGUUGUCCCAAAGAAUUAACUACUAUGGUAAUAAAUCUGAUUUCUGACUUUCUAAAUGCUGCUUCUGUGCUUAGAUGCAGAAGCUUUUCCCUGCAUUCUCUAAGUCUCUCUUUCUCUGCAUCACAGUGGCACUCAGUUGCAGUGUGAAGAAGAGUAAUCCAGCAGAAGCUCUUCAGAUACUCUCCUCUACACGCCUCAGUCUCAGGAGUCUGGCCACCAAAGCCAAGCAAAUCCACACAGACGUGGCCACAGGGAGGAUCCAUGCUGAGCUGCAGGACGGCGUUACUGCUGUGGAGCAAGUCAUCACCGAGCUGCAAGAUCUGAGUGGGAAGCUGCGUAACCAGUCACAGUGACCAUCCAUCUCUAAUAUGCCCCUUUUGUGGCAAAAGAGACAACCUUUGGUUCUCAGGGGUCCUCAGUAAGACUGAGUAAUAAAGACCCAAACCAGCUCUACACCUGCAUUUAUCAUCACAGUGUAUUACUGAACCUGUUAAAUAAAGCAAGCCAAAGGACUGAAUUUGUAAUCCUAUUUUUAUACCUUUAUGUCCACUUUGAAAUGUAAACACUCACUGGGUGGCAUCUUAAUAUACAAUGUUAAAAAUUUGAAUGCUUGCUUUGAUUUUUUUUGUUGUAAAUGAAGUGAUAAAAUCACCUUUAUCUGUGAUAAACAAAGUGAUCAGUUGACAGAUUUUGAAGCUGCAUCCAUACAGAAUAGGCUCUCGGGACAGGAUACAGCUUUAGGUCAUCUGUAUCUGUAAAUAUUUAGAUCCCUCUCUCAUCCACUGAAGAGACACAUGUAAAUGUAGUAAAAGAAAUAGACCUAGAUCGUAAAAAUGUGAUUGGUACAGUAGGUUACUGUACCCAUUGUGGUAAUUUCUGCAGAACAGAACAUGGAAGAAAAAUCGAGCCUCUAUUCCAACUUCUUUGUCGGACAUAUUUCAAGAUGCAUACUCUAAAAAUCUUAAAUCUAGGCUCUUUCUUUUUUUAUAUACCUAUUCAGUUCAAUUUCAUUUUAUUUAUACCUGCUAUCAGCAAGCACUGGGAAACACGACAGUGGGAAAGAAAAACUCCCUUUUAACAGGAAGAAACCUCCAGCAGAACCAGCCUCAGGGAGGGAUGGCCAUCCACCACGACCAGUUCGGGUGAUGGGAGGAAGACAGGGAAGAGAGCCAGAGAUUAAUAACAAGUGACGAUUCAGUGCAGAGAGGUCUAUUAACACACAGUGAGUGAGAAAGGUGACUGAUUCCCCAGCAGGCUACACCUAUUCCAGCAUAAAUAAGGAAGGAUUCAGGGUCUCCUGAUCCAGCCCUACCUCAUCUGAAGUAAAUCCGCAGUCCGAGAGGGAAGUGCACUAAUGGGGUGAUGUGGUACUACAAGGUCAUUAAGAUAAGAUGGGGGCUGGUUAUUCAAGACCUUGUAUGUGAGGAGCAGGAUUUUGAAUAAAUGAAGGGAAGCCAAUAUAGCUCUAUUUGUGCUAAAAUAAUUUUAUAGUCAACUAGGAAAUGGCACUGAUCUUAACCAGCCUGGAAUAAACAAACUUGUCUUGUCUUCCCCUUUCAGCCAAUAACACAUGUAUGUAUCCAAAUAGUUGCUAAGACUAGAUUUGUAUGAGGUGUGUGCUAUUUUAUAAACUGCCACUAGCUUAACAACUUGCAUACAUAAACUUUACAUGCUAGUUGGUAAAUGGAAAAUAGACUGGUUAUAUAGCGCUUUUCUACUCGAGCACUCAAAGCGCUUUAUACAAUAGUAACUAACAGAUUAGUAAAGUCCUAUAAAUGUACACAUCAAAGCUGAAGUCAAAUUAUUUUCUAUUGAUUUACAUUAAAGAAAUGAUCCAAAAGGCACAACAGUAGCACAACAGUACAGUGACUCAUAUUAAGAAAGGCGAGGCUGCUAUUAAGGUGCUUAUGUCAGCAACAACGUGAUAGAUACAUAAAUGGCAGCAAUUAAAAAAACAUCCAAGCAGAAUGUUUUAUUAUAUCGGAGUUGUUUUGAUAUUGUAGCUGUAGUGUAAGUUCUUUCUAGAAUAACUCAAAAUGAUUGACUUUUUCUGUCCUUCAUGAAUAUUUAAGUGAAAUUGAUUCCUAACACCAAGUCUUAUCUCUUAAAGAAUUGGUUGCAUAAAGAAAAAUUGUAUACUAGAGAAGCAGACUUACCUUUCCCUUUAAUCUCCUAACUACCUAAGUUACUCAGCUCUCGAACACCACCUCCACUCAUUGUGUUCUCACUAAUAAAAAGGCUAUUAAAAACCAUGAGCCAUGCUCUGAUGCUCUGCGAGAUCAUUUCCCAACUCAUCCGACAUGGUGAGCACACACACACGCAUCCCAUUUCCCUGCAGUUCAUACAGGGAGGAGACCACCAUUUGUUUCCUCAACUAGAAGAAAAAUGACCUUGACAUUGCUCAGGUUUUUUAUCUCCCUUCUUUUUUCAGUGUAUUGGAGCUCGUGUUUUAUUUUUCUCUGCCCAUUUGUCACAAGAGCCAGAACCUCUGUUUUGAAAGUAUUACCACAGCGAUAAGGACUUAAAGGCCCCUAUAAAUGGAUGAUCUCGCAUGAGGGAGUGGAGCACUGUGACAAUGUAAAAUGUUGAUGAUUGCACUUUGACAGUUGCCUUCAUGGUAAAUUCUCUGAGCUAAUAUUCAUGUUUGAAUCCACAUUUCCAGCCUCACUCCAGUUAUUAAAUAAAAAUGGCAAGAAGAAAUGACCUAUUUUAGUCAUCAUUCAUGACCACAUUAUAUCACACCCACAGGAUCUCUCAGCACUGGUGACUAAUCUUCCUAAUAUGAUUGUAAAUUUACCAAAUGCUAUUAUUAGAUAAAGUCCACAAGAGUGAUUUGCUGCUGUUCUGUCAUCACCCAGAGGACAGCUUUGAUAAAAGAAAACACAAGUUUGAUUGUUUCGUGCCAGACUUGCGCUCCCAGAAUUCCUGGUAUUUCUCAGCAGGGGCUGCAAAGCUGAUGUCAGCAUUCACAAAACUCCCAUUACCUCACACUUUAGUUCAUGCGGCAGGGAUAUUAUUUCAGUUGGACAAAAUCUCUUCUCAAAAGAAGCAACAACAAAAUCUGUCACUUGCACUUGAAAAACAAAUGUUUACAGCAUCCCAGAAGGUAUUGUUUUCUUGAAAUCGUGUAAAUCAACUGGUUCUUAUAUGGUGUUUUUCUACUAAAUAUUAAAUUGCAAUUUGAUCCAGUGUA